GACGUAGGGCGCGAGCGUUGUCCGGAUUUAUUGGGCGUAAAGAGCUCGUAGGCGGCUUGUUACGUCGACUGUGAAAACCCGCGGCUCAACUGCGGGCCUGCAGUCGAUACGGGCAGGCUAGAGUUCGGUAGGGGAGACUGGAAUUCCUGGUGUAGCGGUGAAAUGCGCAGAUAUCAGGAGGAACACCGAUGGCGAAGGCAGGUCUCUGGGCCACUACUGACGCUGAGAAGCGAAGGCAUGGGGAGCGAACAGG
rnacentral:rRNA from 1 species